GAUGAACGCUUUCUUCUUUCCUAAUACCUGCAAGUCGAGCGAACGGACGAGAAGCUUGCUUCUCUGAUGUUAGCGGCGGACGGGUGAGUAACACGUGGAUAACCUACCUAUAAGACUGGGAUAACUUCGGGAAACCGGAGCUAAUACCGGAUAAUAUUUUGAACCGCAUGGUUCAAAAGUGAAAGACGGUCUUGCUGUCACUUAUAGAUGGAUCCGCGCUGCAUUAGCUAGUUGGUAAGGUAACGGCUUACCAAGGCAACGAUGCAUAGCCGACCUGAGAGGGUGAUCGGCCACACUGGAACUGAGACACGGUCCAGACUCCUACGGGAGGCAGCAGUAGGGAAUCUUCCGCAAUGGGCGAAAGCCUGACGGAGCAACGCCGCGUGAGUGAUGAAGGUCUUCGGAUCGUAAAAAUCUGUUAUUAGGGAAGAACAUAUGUGUAAGUAACUGUGCACAUCUUGACGGUACCUAAUCAGAAAGCCAAGGCUAACUACGUG
rnacentral:rRNA from 1 species